UACAGAGACUGCAAGCGUUAUUCGGAUUCACUGGGCGUAAAGGGUGCGCAGGCGGCCGAGUGUGUGAGGCGUGAAAGCCUGGAGCUCAACUCCAGAAUUGCACCUCAAACUACACGGCUAGAGCAUUGGAGAGGGUAGCGGAAUUCACGGUGUAGCAGUGAAAUGCGUAGAUAUCGUGAGGAACACCAGAGGCGAAGGCGGCUACCUGGACAAUUGCUGACGCUCAGGCACGAAAGCGUGGGGAGCAAAAAGGG
rnacentral:rRNA from 1 species